rnacentral:rRNA from 1 species
CCCUUAGAUGUCCUGGGCCGCACGCGCGCUACACUGACAUGUUCAACAAGUUUCUCCUAGUUCGACAGGACUGGGAAAUCUUUGAACGCAUGUCGUGAUAGGGAUAGAUCAUUGCAAUUAUUGAUCUUGAACGAGGAAUUCCUAGUAAACGCGAGUCAUCAGCUCGCAUUGAUUACGUCCCUGCCCUUUGUACACACCGCCCGUCGCACCUACCGAUUGAAUGUUUCGGUGAAGAUUCCGGAUAGGACUGAUUUGAUUUAUUUCAUUUCUGACCUAAAAGCUAUCUAAACCUUAACAUUUAGAGGAAGGUGAAGUCGUAACA